rnacentral:rRNA from 1 species
GACGAACGCUGGCGGCGUGCUUAACACAUGCAAGUCGAACGGGUCUGCCCUGUUUUUUGCGGGGUGGGUCAGUGGCGAACGGGUGAGUAACACGUGAGUAACCUGCCCCUCACUUCUGGAUAACCGCUUGAAAGGGUGGCUAAUACGGGGUGUUCUGGCUGUGCCGCAUGGUGUGGCUGGGAAAGAUUCACUUUUUUGGUGUUUUGGUGGGUGAUUGGCUCGCGGCGUAUCAGCUUGUUGGUGGGGUGAUGGCCUGCCAAGGCUUUGACGGGUAGCCGGCCGAGGAGGGUGGGCGGUCACACUGGGACUGAGAGACGGACAAGACUACGGCGGGAGGCAGCAGGGGGGGGUAUUGCACGAGGGGCGGAAGGCUGAUGCAGCGACGUGGGGUGAGGGAUGGAGGCCGUAGGGUUGUGAACCUCUUUCGCGGGUGAAGAAGGUCCUGCUCUUUGUGGUGGGGUUGACGGUAGCCGGGUUAUGAAGCGCCGGCUAACUACGUG